GAUAUGUCUUUAUUUCAUCAACAGAAAUGGUGUCUAGACAAAAUUCAGUUAACACUAGCAAUUCAAAUGAAUGAAAAGGGUUUUUUUUCAUUUUUGUUUUUUUGCACAAUACUGUAUUUACAAUGAGUAAAUGACAUUUUAAAUUCAUUAGUUCAUAGCAAUGCUUUCUUCCAAAAAGGUAAAAAUUCUUAGUAACAGAGAGUAAGCAUCAACAGCCACCUCAUUUAUUUAUACAAUAAAAAUCACAAGAAACCACAGUCACCUAGAAAAAAAAUAAAGACAAGCUUAAGAACUAGUACAAUAAAAUGAUGCAUUGAAUUAAGUUACAUUAAUCGCAUAGAAUUUGUGUAAAAAGUAUGUAGAAAAAACACCUGAUGUAACCUGUUACAGUCAUUGACCAGUUAUGAGAGGUACAGAGGGUUAUACAGGUAGAUAUGUGUGAAAACUGUCCAUACUGUUUGACCUGGGGAGGAAGAGAAGAGGGGUUGCACCCCCUUGCAUACACUGAUAAAACCCUGUUUUGAAUAUGGCCUCUGAAGUUUGUAAGGCAUAUAUUAGAGGUGCACUUGUAACCAACUGGUUCUGGAACAAACUCUUAGGGCAUCCCCACCGUUGAAAUCAAAGGUGAUGCUUGGAACUACGAGUAAACAACCAUGCAUUGAGUAUCACCAAAGUGUUUAGUAUCAUUCCUGCUGGUCUGAGGGAUCCAGAUAGCUUCAGGCAGAGCAAAGGCAGUAGUGAGCACAGGACUGAAACCAUGCACGCUUCCUUCUCUCAGUUACCUCCCAAAAGCAGGGUAACACUGGCCUGGGCUGGGGAUCACAGCCCCAGCUCCUGGCGUGGGGUAGCUGCUCCCUCUUCUGCCCACAUUCCUGAGGGUGGGCUCCUCUGGUCGCAGGGAUGAGCCCAGCCGGACACUGCAGUCCCUGCUCAGCUCUCUCCAAAUGGAGGGGUUGCUUGGGUUCGUAGCCUGGGCCCCUCUCUGCUUCUAAGCAAUCAAUGAAAUCAAACACUGCCAGUUGCCAUUUCUAUUUUAGGAUGCUAUUUUCUUUCUGCAUGCCCUUAAUUAGGCAAAAGGGACAACAGUGGCACUGCAUGACCCACGCAGUGACUUUCGCCUACAGAAAGGGCUCUGCCCACAGUCACUAAAAUUCGUACAAACACAGGAGUCAUCUAACAUGCUUUUUAGCAGUCGCUUGGUUGGGGUAACGACCUUAUAAAAAGGUAUUUUUAGCAUUCCUUCCUGCCAAAAAGCAAUCUUAUUUGCAAAAAUGGGAACGUUAUCUGUCUAAUACCGCAAAAUGCAUAUCAAUAUUUGACUUCGAUAUAAAUAAUACCUAUCUUGGUGGAGUGUAGGAAAAUACUGUACACUUAGUCUUUGCAAGUAAUGCCAUUAAAAUUUCGAGAGAAAAGGGAAUAAUUAUUCUACAGACCACCAACAAUAGAUCUUUUAAAUAUACACACAGUAUUUGAACAUAUGCAUAUACACAUAUAUUGUAUGCUACAGCAUCAGAUCUGAUGCCUGAGUCAUGAAAUACUCCAGGGAGUAUUAUAAAUAUACAUAUAUGUAUUAUAAACAGGAAAAUACACAAACACGCACUCUGACUAGAAUUAUAGAUGUAUGUAUACAUACAUACACAUAUUAUAUAUAUGAUGUAAAAUUAACUUGGACUGUGUUGGCAGAGACAAAACUGAAAUGAAGUCAAAAUCUGUUGAGAAAUUUUCUAGCAGGAAAGAGAGCAUAAGCUCUUUAUGUUAAUAGUUUUAGUUUCACCUCACUUCCGAUAAAAAUAAACCACUCCAUACUUAGCAGAUCCCCUCCUUAUGCAAAGCUAUCAGCUCCACUGCUCAUAUUGAGCUAAACCUUCUUUCUCUAGGCAGCCCUAAAACAGAGACUUUUAAAAUGCUGCAGCCAUGGGCUACAACAUUCACCUGGAGGCACCUCCAGAUGCAUCUCAGACCAGAAAAAAUGAGGUGAAAGCAACACUCCUCAUCGCAGUGGUAGAAGACAUGAAGUGGAGCAAAAUGUGAGCUUCUGGAAACCUGGAAAAUGCUCACUUUGUCUCACUGCAAAAUUCCCUACAGUCUAUAUUCUGCAAACCCAUCCCUCUCUCUCUCUUCACCACCACAGCAGUGGAUUACAAGACAUAAGCGAGGAUGUGUUGUUGAUUUUGGGAUUGCAGCGUUUCACCGUGCUUUCUCCUAGUGGAUCAGAUUCAAUUUUAUUACAGGAUUAUAGUGAUUCCAGCAUGCAGAUUUGUUUUAUUUAUUAGGCAAUCAUAAAGUUACAUGUUAAAAAAAUCUAACUCUAUAUCUAGGCAUUUUAACUUCUAUUUAAGCGCUCUUUAGAAUACAGACUUGACAAAGUGUUGGACUCCAGAUUAACAACCACCCUAUCAGCAUUAAUGAUUUCUCUGGCAGCAGUUAAUCCAUUUAGCAAAGUUAUGUAUCUAGUUCCCACUCCUUUUUAAAGAGAAGUAGCAGUUAGCAUACUAAUCACUGUGGCUUGCCUUUGCAGCACAUUUUACUUCCUUGGGAAAAAAACAUAAUACAAGGAUUAGAUCCAAAAAUAUAGUGCAUCUUAAAAGCAGCAUAUACCCUUAGAAAGACAUUUAAUAAAUUACUUGUACAAUAUAUAAAAUAAUAGUUUUAUACUGCAGCAUCAAACUCUGACGCCUGAGUCAUCACGUUAGGAAGUCUGUGAUAUAAAUACCGGGAUCUCCUGAUAACACAGCCAACAUUUUUGCUUUUCUUUUGCUUGUUUUCUCUUUUGUUUUCUCUCCUUUUUUUUUUUUUUAAUUUUUUCCUUUUUUUCCCCACUACCUUUUUGUUCCAGAAUCAGCUUGCAAUGAGCUUUAAUUGUGUUCAAGGCACCCCCAGAGAACGCAGAGAAACAAACACAUUAUAUAGUGUAGUACUCACCUGACAAAGCAUAACAAGCCUAAAUGAAAUGAGGUUUCCUGGCAAUACAAGUAUAGCAAUGGCAAAGGAAAAGGAGGACUAGAUACAGACUGGACAAAGUUUCAAGGACUCACAUGCCCAUGAGAGCGCUGCAGCGCCUGGUGGGGAGAUGGGGUCUCACCAUGCCAUUCCCAAGCAAUGCCCAACGGGACUGAUGCUGCAUGUAUCGUAUCCUCUUCGACAAAAGCAAAGAAAUUCUUAAGAUCAUGGUGACCUCUGGCCAAAGUCUUUAAAAUCCAUAAAUACUACAGUCAGUUGGGUUUGUUUUCUUUCCAAUAGUAUUCUUGUGGUCAGUUGUUUUGACCCCAUGAGACAAGAAGGGUUGGGUAUGUGAACUGGAGUCCAAGUCUGAAACUAAUUCUCCCAAUGUCUUCCUUUAACAUUAGCCCAGUAACUGUUUUAAGAGCCGCGUGAUUCGGAAUAGCAAAACAACCUCAAAAUAAACUAGAAACAAAAACCAACCACCACCACCACCACCAAAAAAACCCCACUGAAAAACCAUGAUACAUGUAAAUAUAGGAAGCAAUGACACAAAACCAGCCACUUCUAAUGGGAAAGAAUGAAAUCAAACAUCCAGAAAAGCUUGUGGGGGAGGGGAAGAGAGAGAGACGAGAGAAAGGUUGAGGAAGAGACACUUAUUUGAGCAGUGGUUUUAAAUAUCAGUUCCCAAGGUAGAGGAAAUCAAGAGACCCAGCA
ensembl:lncRNA